GCUGGGUGUGGUGGCUCACACCUGUAAUCCUAGCACUUUGGGAGGCUGAGGUGGGUGGAUCACUUGAGGUCAGGAGUUCAAAACCAGGCUGGCCAACAUGGUGAAACCUUGUCUCUACUAAAAAUACAAAAAAUUAGCUGGGCAUGGUGGUGGACACCUGCAAUCCCAGCUAUUUGGGAGGCUGAGGCAGGAGAAUCACUUGAACCCCAGAGGCAGAGGUUACAGUGAGCCAAGAUUGCACCAUUGCACUCCAGCCUGAGCAACAGAGUGAGACUCCAUCACA
rnacentral:sRNA from 1 species